AGGGACGGGAGGAAAGUCCGGGCAACACGAGCCACCAUACUUCCUAACGGGAAGGCGGCAGGGAGGAAAGCACCCUGACGACAGCGAGUGCCACAGAAAGAGAAACCGCCGGGCCUUCCGUCCGGCAAGGGUGCAAGCGCGGGGUAAGAGCCCACGACGGACGGCAGCGAUGCCGCCUGAUGGCAAACCUUAUGGGUUGAAAGACCAAAUAUACCGGCAGCACAGGGCUGGCUCGCCCUUUGCCGGGGGGUAGGUUGAUAGAGGCCGUCGGCAACGACGGCAGUAGAUUGAUGAUAGAGACCGCCGGACUCGGCGGUGACAGAACCCGGCUUAUGACGUU
rnacentral:RNase_P_RNA from 1 species